AACUUUCAACAACGGAUCUCUUGGUUCUGGCAUCGAUGAAGAACGCAGCGAAAUGCGAUAAGUAAUGUGAAUUGCAGAAUUCAGUGAAUCAUCGAAUCUUUGAACGCACAUUGCGCCCGCCAGUAUUCUGGCGGGCAUGCCUGUUCGAGCGUCAUUUCAACCAUCAAGCCCCGG
rnacentral:rRNA from 2 species